CUUAACAUGUGGUUAACGCCUUAACGGUAACAAAAACCAUAGUGCCGAUUUCCGCAAGCCAAACGAAACCCUAAUUUCAACCCUAUUUAACCCCCCUCUCUACACUUACACAACAACAACAGCCAGCCACCAUCUUUUCUUUCAAUCAAAUCUAUUUAUGCGGUUAUGCUCACACUGUUUGCUUUGAAUUGUUCUACUUUAUUUUUAAUGUGGUUACAUCGUAGUAGAGAGAGAUCGCAAUGACGACUUGCAAAAUUCAAGCUCAACAGACCGGAAUGCAGGCUUAUCUCUCCUGAGAGAUUUGCUUGCGUGUCGAUAUUCCCGCUGAACUGAGUGAUUUUCUCUUUCAAUUGAUUGAUUUUUUCAUUGUCUUUGUGUUUAUAUCUACUGCUUUUUAAUGCAUGAUUUGGCUUUUAUUUUUAUGUGGGAAUAGAAGGGGAUUACAAUGAGGAUACAAAGCUCCCUCUUCUGAAUUAGUAUGAGGAAAGAUGUGUCCACAAUAGAUUACGUUUUCUGAAACAAGUUAUUCCACAAGCAAAACAUCCUCACUCGAGCAAAAGGACAACUGGACAAGACUCUUUUAGUCUAAACAAAUUAGGAUCCAAUAUAUAUUGUAACAAUGAAUUUACACUGGAACAAAUAAACGGGUGAACAACGUGUGACAGCUAAAAAAGUAGCAAUACCUUGUGUACUUCAAUUUCAUACUAAGAAUUGAUUUUAACUGA